UAAGGCAUGUUCAGAGAGCGCGAAAGCCACCGAAGAGGCAAGUUGUUGAAAAACAAUGAAUCUUUCAGGUAAAAGGAUGAAUAUGUUGGG
rnacentral:ncRNA from 2 species